UUGGAGGGCAAGUCUGGUGCCAGCAGCCGCGGUAAUUCCAGCUCCAAUAGCGUAUAUUAAAGUUGUUGCAGUUAAAAAGCUCGUAGUUGAAUUUCGGGGUUAGUAGGUUGGUCAUGCCUCUGGUAUGUACUGGUCUCACUGAUUCCUCCUUCCUGAUGAGCCGUAAUGCCAUUAAUUUGGUGUUGCGGGGAAUUUGGACUGUUACUUUGAAAAAAUUAGAGUGUUUAAAGCAGGCUAACGCUUGAAUACAUUAGCAUGGAAUAAUGAAAUAGGACGUUCGAUCUUAUUUUGUUGGUUUCUAAGAUUGACGUAAUGAUUAAUAGGGAUAGUUGGGGGCAUUAGUAUUCAAUUGUCAGAGGUGAAAUUCUUGGAUUUAUUGAAGACUAACUACUGCGAAAGCAUUUGCCAAGGAUGUUUUCAUUAAUCAAGAACGAAAGUUAGGGGAUCGAAGACGAUCAGAUACCGUCGUAGUCUUAACCAUAAACUAUGCCGACUAGGGAUCGGAUGAUGUUAAUUUUUUAAUGACUCAUUCGGCGCCUUACGGGAAAC
rnacentral:rRNA from 1 species